rnacentral:rRNA from 1 species
GAUGAACGCUGGCGGCGUGCCUAAUACAUGCAAGUUGAGCGAUGAAGCUUGGAGCUUGCUCCUCUUUCGAGAGCGGCGGACGGGUGAGUAACGCGUGGGGAAUCUGCCUUUGAGCCGGGGAUAACAUCUGGAAACGAAUGCUAAUACCGCAUAAUAACUUUAACCAUAAGUUUUAAGUUUGAAAGAUGCAAUUGCAUCACUUAAAGAAGAUCCCGCGUUGUAUUAGCUAGUUGGUGAGGUAAAGGCUAAACAAGGCGAUGAUACAUAGCCGACCCUGGAGGGUGAUGCGCCCCAUCGGGAACUGGAAACGGGCCCAGACUCUACGGGGGGCCACAGUAGGGGAUCCUUGGCAAUUGGCGGAAGUCUGACCGGAGAACGCCGCGGGGGUGAAGAAGGUUCUCCGAUCGGAAAACUCUGUUGGUAGGGGAAGACGUUGUGGAGAGGUGAAUACGCAUGACGUGACGGUACCUACCCAGAAAGGGACGGCUAACUACGUG